rnacentral:misc_RNA from 1 species
AAUGAAGAAAGGAAUUCACCCUCAAAUGCAAUGGAUAUCCUACGUGACGCAAAGUGGACGGUUGAUGCAUGUUAUGAUGACUAAAAUACACCAAACAGGCAAGGUUUAUCACAUCAGAGCAAGGCGUCAGAUGGCUCAAAGUCUUGGUCAGAUUGCAAAGUUUAAGCGCCGAUAUGGUGAGAAGGAGGAAGAGGGGGAGAAAACAGACAAAUGAUUGCAUAAGUUGGAAAAAUAGUGAAUCUCUGAUGAUUUUGUGGAUGGAUUCAUCCUCGCGUUUUCCUUUCCAUCUCAUCUUAACUUGUCUUCUUGUAUGCUGUCACCCCUUUGAAUGUUCUGUUAAACAUUAGCAAACAACACAUUCUUCCUACUGUGUACACCAAUUCAGUGAUAUUUUUGCAGCAAUCAUUAUGGCUCG